GCUUCCGUGGCUCAGUUGGCAGAGCAGCGCAUUCGUAACGCGCAGGUCGGCGGUUCGAGCCCGCCCGGGAGCUCCA
rnacentral:tRNA from 2 species